UCUGAAGAAUUUUUAAACAAAGACUCACCUGGAGACAGAUCUCUGCUAAGAGAGUACAUACUGCAAGGAAGACAGGUAAUCUGGCAAUGCAGUAUGAUGUUACUUUUCUAAUGACAAUUACUCCAGUGUUUCAUGCUCAGCAAGCUUGCAGAGGGAAGGAAUGCAAUUCUAUGAAUCACUUGUACUGUAUUUCUGUUUCUAGACUUGAAUGAAUUUCACUUUUCCUUUGUGGGUCAGCAUAGUAAACAUUAAUGAAAAGGUCUAUUUUUAUAAAUCUCUUUCACCAGUUGAGAGGGCUGACCUGCAGCCACCAGAUAGACUUAUUUAUCCAUAGAGGACAGAAUGUUUAUUUUUACACUAAGAUUACUUACAGCAUUGAAUAAAACAAGGCCUUUGAUCUAAAUCUUAAUAGUAUCACCAAAUUGCAGAAGUAUGUAUGGUGGACAGUUCCAUGUUUCUUCCCAGUAAGUCUCUCAAAAGAAGUUACUCAGAAAUAAACUUCCAAAUGAAGUACAAGAGAUCCUUGUGAUCUAACUACAGGAAAUUUACGAACCAGGAGAAAACUCAAUAAAGUGAGCUAGAUCUCACUAGCUAAAAAAACCUGCAAAUGUAAAGUAAAUGGAAUGUUCUUGGGAUAUUGAGUUGCUUCCUCACGUGAUGCUGUACCCGGUACAUCUGGCUUCAUUUGGCUUCUGUGUUGUGGUUUAUAUGCCAGCCACUGUUAUAAAAACUGUACACAACACCUAUAUUUGCACUGUAAUCUUAAUUCAUUUGCCACUGAUUGUAACCCAAUGCUACAGACUUCUCUGUAUAUAAAACCAUAACCAUGUCCCACUUGCUUUCAAUAGCAUACAAUAAAGGCUUAUAUCUCUAUAC
rnacentral:lncRNA from 7 species